rnacentral:rRNA from 1 species
UGAAUACGAGACGCUAAGGCGUCGAAGUAGUGUAUGUCAUACUUCCAAGAAAAGCUUGCACUGUCAUAGAUAAAAAACGCCUGUACCAUAACCGACACAGGUGGGUAGGUAGAGUAUACUAAGGGGCGCGAGAUAACUCUCUCUAAGGAACUCGGCAAAAUAACUCCGUAACUUCGGGAGAAGGAGUGCCUUAUUCGUAAGGUUGCAAUAACAAGAUCCAAGCAACUGUUUAUCAAAAACACAGGUCUCCGCUAAGUCGUAAGACGAUGUAUGGGGGCUGACGCCUGCCCAGUGCCAGAAGGUUAAAGAAGUUGGUUAGCAAUUGCGAAGCUGAUAACUGAAGCCCUGGUGAACGGCGGCCGUAACAAUAACGGUCCUAAGGUAGCGAAAUUCCUUGUCGGGUAAGUUCCGACCCGCACGAAAGGCGUAAUGAUUUGGAUACUGUCUCGGAGAGGGGCUCGGUGAAAUAGACUUGUCUGUGAAGAUGCGGACUACCUGCACCAGGACAGAAAGACCCUAUGAAGCUUUACUGUAACUUGAAAUUGAAAUUGGACUUUAUUCGCGCAGUAUAGGUGGGAGGCGUUGAUUAUAAUCUUGUGGGAUUAUUGGAGCCAUCAGUGAGAUACCACUCUUGUAAUGUUAGAUUUCUAACUUUGAAUCAUUAUCUGGUCAAAGAACAGUUUCAGGCGGGCAGUUUGACUGGGGCGGUCGCCUCCUAAACGGUAACGGAGGCGUACAAAGGUUUCCUCUGAACGGUUAGAAAUCGUAUCUAGAGUGUAAAGGCAUAAGGAAGCUUGACUGUGAGACCUACAAGUCGAGCAGGGACGAAAGUCGGUCUUAGUGAUCUGACGGUACUGAGUGGAAAGGCCGUCACUCAACGGAUAAAAGUUACUCUAGGAUAACAGGCUGAUCUCCCCCAAGAGUUCACAUCGACGGGGAGGUUUGGCACCUCGAUGUCGGCUCAUCGCAUCCUGGGGCGGUAGUACGUCCCAGGGGUUGGGCUGUUCGCCCAUGAAAGCGGUACGCGAGCUGGGUUCAGAACGUCGUGAGACAGUUCGGUCCAUAUCCGGUGUAGGCGUUAGAAUAUUGAGAGGAGCCUUCUUUAGUACGAGAGGACCGAGAAGGUCAUACCUCUGGUGUACCAGUUAUCGUGCCAACGGUAAACGCUGGGUAGCUAUGUAUGGAGUGGAUAACCGCUGAAAGCAUCUAAGUGGGAAGCCCACCUCAAGAUAAG